CUCCUUGGGCUUUCCGGAGCGGAAAGGACCCCGUCCCUCCUGAGCGAGGAGAAAGACCUUAGCCCAGUUGGUUGUGCAGCGCAGAGCCGGCCCUUCUGAAAAGAGCAGAAUGUCUUCAGACUUGGCAAGGAGGCCCCCGCCGUUAUUUGCCACCUUUCCUUUAUUUGUCUGCGCCCAAUUGGUUGUGCCAGGGGUGCCGCCCACCUCCAUUCCUCCGUGGAUUCUCCUUGGUCUUUCCGGAGCUGAAAGGACCCGUCCCUCCUGAGUG